rnacentral:rRNA from 3 species
UCUCGGCAACGGAUAUCUUGGCUCUCGCAUCGAUGAAGAACGUAGCAAAAUGCGAUACCUGGUGUGAAUUGCAGAAUCCCGUGAACCAUCGAGUUUUUGAACGCAAGUUGCGCCUGAGGCCUUUGGUCGAAGGCACGUCUGCCUGGGCGUCACGC